UGUACCAUUUGAUCCAGUGAAGGUGUGUGAGCUUCAUCCACAGGGUGUUGUUCUUAUAAGAUUCAAGGAUCACAAAGAUGCUCAGAAAUGUAUAGAUGCAAUGAACGGUCGAUGGUAUGCAAAGAGAGAUACAUGCGAGCCUUGACGGUGGAUCAGUGAACCACGCUGCGGUUCGUGACUUUGAUUCAGAAGCCGAA